UGGGGGAUAUUGCACAAUGGGCGAAAGCCUGAUGCAGCGACGCCGCGUGGGGGAUGAAGGCUUUCGGGUUGUAAACCUCUUUCGCUAUCGAACAAGGCCCGCUUAGGGUGGGUUGAGGGUAGGUGGAGAAGAAGCGCCGGCUAACUACGUGCCAGCAGCCGCGGUAAUACGUAGGGCGCGAGCGUUGUCCGGAAUUAUUGGGCGUAAAGGGCUUGUAGGCGGCUUGUUGCGCCUGCUGUGAAAACGCGGGGCUUAACUUCGCGCGUGCAGUGGGUACGGGCAGGCUUGAGUGUGGUAGGGGUGACUGGAAUUCUAGGUGUAGCGGUGGAAUGCGCAGAUAUCUGGAGGAACACCGAUGGCGAAGGCAGGUCACUGGGCCAUUACUGACGCUGAGGAGCGAAAGCAUGGGUAGCGAACAGG
rnacentral:rRNA from 2 species